AGAGUUUGAUCAUGGCUCAGAUUGAACGCUGGCGGCGUGCCUAACACAUGCAAGUCGAGCGGUAACAGGUGUAGCAAUACAUGCUGACGAGCGGCGAACGGGUGAGUAAUGCUUUGGAAUCUUCCCAGUAGUGGGGAAUAACCAGUCGAAAGAUUGGCUAAUACCGCAUACGUCUGUAAAGGGAAACGGGGCUCGUAAGACCUCGCGCUAUUGGAUGAGCCAAAGUCGGAUUAGCUAGUUGGUGGGGUAAUGGCCUACCAAGGCGACAAUCCGUAGCUGGUCUGAGAGGACGACCAGCCACACCGGAACUGAGACACGGUCCGGACUCCUACGGGAGGCAGCAGUGGGGAAUAUUGGACAAUGGGGGAAACCCUGAUCCAGCGACGCCGCGUGUGUGAAGAAGGCCUGCGGGUUGUAAAGCACUUUUAGUGGGGACAAAAAGCUACGGAUUAAUACUCUGUGGUCUUGAUUUAACCCAAAGAAAAAGCACCGGCUAACUCUGUGCCAGCAGCCGCGGUAAUACAGAGGGUGCGAGCGUUAAUCGGAAUUACUGGGCGUAAAGCGCGCGUAGACGGUUUUGUAAGUCAGAUGUGAAAUCCCUGGGCUCAACCUGGGAACUGCAUUUGAGACUGCAUGGCUAGAGUAUCGAAGAGGGAAGUGGAAUUUCCGGUGUAGCGGUGAAAUGCGUAGAUAUCGGAAGGAACACCAGUGGCGAAAGCGACUUCCUGGUCGAAUACUGACGUUCAUGUGCGAAAGCGUGGGGAGCAAACAGGAUUAGAUACCCUAGUAGUCC
rnacentral:rRNA from 1 species